rnacentral:lncRNA from 1 species
UGUGCCUUUCACCUUCUGCCAUGAUUGUGAAGCCUCCCCACCACAUGGAACGGGUAUGUGAAUGCCUGUUUCCUAAGGCUUUUUCUUUUUAAAGAGGACUUGAAGCCAGAGAAGAGGAGACAAAGAGCAGAGUGGGUACUAAAAGUAAGUGGCGGCCAAGAGAAACAGAAACACAGGUUCACACAAAAACUUGUGCAUAGCAGCAUUAUUUAUAGCAGCCAAACAGUGGAAACAGCCCACUGUUCAUCCAGUACUGAAUGGAUAAACAAAAUGGGGCAUAUACAUACAAUGGAG